UGCGGAAUUUUAGAUAAUGGAGGGAACUCUGAUCUAGCGACGCCGCGUGCAGGAAGAAGGUCUUCGGAUUGUAAACUGCUGUGGUAAGGGAAAAAUGCUAUGUAGAGUGGAAAGCUACAUAGAGGGAUGGUACCUAACUAGAAAGCCCCGGCUAACUACGUGCCAGCAGCCGCGGUAAUACGUAGGGGGCGAGCGUUACCCGGAAUCACUGGGCGUAAAGGGAGCGUAGGUGGCCUAACAUGUCAACUGUGAAAACCCGGAGCUCAACUCCGGACUUGCAGUUGAAACUGGUAGGCUUGAGGACGGUAGAGGAAGACGGAACUGCCAGUGUAGGGGUAAAAUCCUUAGAUAUUGGCAGGAACGCCGGCGACGAAGGUGGUUUUCUGGGCCGGUUCUGACACUGAUGCUCGAAAGCCAGGGAGCGAACGG
rnacentral:rRNA from 1 species